AAAAAAAAAUCAAAUGUAUGCAGUGCUAGCAGCUUUGUUGCCUUUGUGCACGAUUCCGCCGGGAAAGCAAUCCGCCAGGGGCUUUUUGAGACCAUAUCUAGUUUUAACGGAAUCUAGGGCAGGUGGAUGACCUAAGGAGAUUGAUCCGCCCCCCACUUGUAAACUUGCAGCAGGUUUUCAAAGUCUUGACUGAACCAAGUGAGAAUAUCUGUAAACCUAUAGCUACUAAACUGGUCAAUCUAUAUCGGACAGGAAGGCUUGGCCGAUAUACCUUAGAACAUGUCCCAGAUGUUAGGCAGGAAGUUGUCGCAGAAUUACCUACCGCCUAAAGCAUGCCCUGUUUUUUUUACCUUAAAACAAGGAUUAUGCAUUGGUUUGGCCAGGAUACAGUACAGCCCCUCCUAGCUGUAGGUUGCCCAUGGAGCAUGAAGCGCCUCCGGUGUUCCAUUAGAGGCCAAAAACUGAAUCAACCACAGUGUACUAUGUAAGUCUUGCGGAUUGACUACUCGGGUGCAUUAGUUUGGCAGAUAAUCUUAAAGAAGGCUAUCAUGUGGGUGCAAGAAACAUUCACAUUCAUAUACAUCAGCUGCGGAUUACCGCGUACCGCGAUGGGUUCAGGACUCAGGGAGAAUGCUCAUUGUGACCAAUCUCCAGCAACGUCAUAUAUAUCCGUUCUUUACAGUUUUCUCUAAAAGUUUUUGUCCUCUAUAUCUCUUCUCUCUUCAACAAUGUUCUCUAUCUCGUUCUCUAUACAUAAAUACAUAUGUUCUAUAU
rnacentral:lncRNA from 1 species